UCAUCAAUAUUACAUCAGAGCGCCACAUGGACUGCCUCGCUUCACUCUUUUAUUUCUGCUCUUUGUUUCAGGGAAAUUUGGGAAAGUUUGAAGAGAAGAAAGAGUUUAUCCUCAGUACACCUCUCCGCUGCUGGAAAAAGAAAAAAAAGAAAAAACUUUCCUCUGCAGGACCUCAGACUCCAAUGGACUCAGCAGACAACACUGAAGUUAUGAGCUGCAGUGAUAAUCAACAAGCAGAAGAUGAGGGAUGAAGACUGUAGGGUUCAGAUUUGUCACAUAAUUAAAGCUAACUAAGAAUUAAAAACUGGGUUUCACUCAUACAACCAUGAAAGGGAAUGUUUAGAAGACCUGCUAUGAAGUAUGAGAUGGAAGUGGAAGAGCUGAAAAUGUUUAGAUGAUCACUGGGAGAGAGCAGGAUGGACGGGAUCAGGAACACAUCCAUCAGAGAUAUCUCAGAGUCAGAGAAGCUGAGAUGGUUUGGAUAUGUGCAGGAGGAAGAGUGGAUAUACCGGAGCUGCCAGGCAGGAGGAGAGGAGGAAGACCUUAGAGGAGGUUUGUGGAUGUAGUGAAGGAGGUGUGACAGAGGAGGAUGCUGGGAUAAGAGGAGAUGGCAGAAGAUGAAGGGACCAGCUGAAAGAAGAAGAAAGACUUCCUGUUUGACGUGUAGAAGCUCAGCUCCUUAACUUUUAAUCCUCCAGGUUAGAGUAAAAGUUCUAUUCUGUAUGAAAAAAUAUUAAAUUUUUAAAUCUG